rnacentral:rRNA from 1 species
AUUGAACGCUGGCGGCAUGCCUUACACAUGCAAGUCGAACGGUAACAGGUCUUCGGAUGCUGACGAGUGGCGAACGGGUGAGUAAUACAUCGGAACGUGCCCGAGAGUGGGGGAUAACGAGGCGAAAGCUUUGCUAAUACCGCAUACGAUCUCAGGAUGAAAGCAGGGGACCGCAAGGCCUUGCGCUCCCGGAGCGGCCGAUGGCAGAUUAGGUAGUUGGUGGGAUAAAAGCUUACCAAGCCGACGAUCUGUAGCUGGUCUGAGAGGACGACCAGCCACACUGGGACUGAGACACUGCCCAGACUCCUACGGGAGGCAGCAGUGGGGAAUUUUGGACAAUGGGCGCAAGCCUGAUCCAGCAAUGCCGCGUGCAGGAUGAAGGCCUUCGGGUUGUAAGCUGCUUUUGUACGGAACGAAAAGCCCUGGGUUAAUACCCUGGGGUCAUGACGGUACCGUAAGAAUAAGCACCGGCUAACUACGUGCCAGCCGCCGCCGUAAGAC